rnacentral:rRNA from 1 species
GACGAACGCUGGCGGCGUGCUUAACACAUGCAAGUCGAACGGAAAGGCCCUGCUUUUGUGGGGUGCUCGAGUGGCGAACGGGUGAGUAACACGUGAGUAACCUGCCCUUGACUUUGGGAUAACUUCAGGAAACUGGGGCUAAUACCGGAUAGGAGCUCCUGCUGCAUGGUGGGGGUUGGAAAGUUUCGGCGGUUGGGGAUGGACUCGCGGCUUAUCAGCUUGUUGGUGGGGUAGUGGCUUACCAAGGCUUUGACGGGUAGCCGGCCUGAGAGGGUGACCGGCCACAUUGGGACUGAGAUACGGCCCAGACUCCUACGGGAGGCCGCAGUGGGGAAUAUUGCACCCUGGGCGGAAGCCUGAUGCAGCAACGCCGCGUGCGGGAUGACGGCCUUCGGGUUGUAAACCGCUUUCGCCUGUGACGAAGCGUGAGUGACGGUAAUGGGUAAAGCAGCACCGGCUAACUACGUG